UGGGGGAUAUUGCACAAUGGGCGAAAGCCUGAUGCAGCGACGCCGCGUGGGGGAUGAAGGCCUUCGGGUUGUAAACUUCUUUUGCUCUGAACAAGGCAUGCCUUUGGGGUGUGUUGAGUGUAGGGGUUGAUUAGCGCCGGCUAACUACGUGCCAGCAGCCGCGGUAAUACGUAGGGCGCGAGCGUUGUCCGGAAUUAUUGGGCGUAAAGGGCUUGUAGGUGGCUGGUUGCGUCUGUCGUGAAAGCUCUUGGCUUAACUGUGGGUUUGCGGUGGGUACGGGCUGGCUUGAGUGCAGUAGGGGAGGCUGGAAUUCCUGGUGUAGCGGUGGAAUGCGCAGAUAUCAGGAGGAAUACCGGUGGCGAAGGCGGGUCUCUGGGCUGUUACUGACGCUGAGGAGCGAAAGCGUGGGGAGCGAACAGG
rnacentral:rRNA from 1 species